rnacentral:lncRNA from 1 species
UUUUAGCACAUGAUAAUAAUAAUAAUCAAGGAAAGACAGAAGAACAAGGACAUGUCCAAACCAACAUCAUUGAACCUCAAAAGACCACCACACCUGAUCAACCCUCCAAACCUGAAUCUCAACAGAACACCAAACCUGACAAGCCUUCCAAUCCUGAAACAACAACACAAGGUCUCAUCCUUUGAUUUGCAAGGAUUUGUGUAAAAGCUUAUUAUAUUAAAUAUACUACUAGUAUUUACUAUAAGUUGGAUGGUAUAUGUAGAACAACUACACUGUUGCUCUACAAACAGAACAUGGAUAUGUGCCUUUUAUUUGAUGGCUUGCUACUUUUGUUGUUUAUUUUUAAUUUGUUAACAAAGUAUAAGUUGUAUAAGAAUAGAUGAGAGGCUUUAUGAGGAAUUACAGUAUGUUGUUAUUCAUGUCACUGUUUGAAGUGUUUUUUUUCUUUCUGGUAUGCUACUUUGAAACCUGUUAUCAUCAAUUCUCAUUGAAUGAUGCAAGACAAUGUCGAAGUGGAACCAGACACCUACCGUUACACUCCAUCUGCUAACAUGAGCUUCCAAGAUGCUUUUGUAAGGGUAUCCUCACCCUAAGAGUAAGGAACUAAUCUCUUUCAGGAUAUGUGUUUGUCUCUUCUAACAAGUGUUAUUCAUAUGAAUAAAAUUAUUGACAUUUUGGUUAUUCUGGGGAUCAAGCAUUGUUGGUAAACAUAAACAUAAGAUGCUUUGUGUGCUCCUUGAGAAAUGUAUAAGCAAAAUAUGUGUUACAAAAAGUUAAGCAAAAUAUGUGUUACAAAAAGUUGUUCUGAAACAUGGCUAUUGUGUUAUAUCUAAUUGAUUUUGCUACUUUUUUGGCCUCUUUCUCCUUACAAUGACUUAUAACACAUGUUCAAAUAAGACAUGAUUUAUCAAUGUGAGCAUUUUAUGAACUAUGAUGAAUUAUGACAUAUAUUAAGACAUAAAUUGGAGUAACUUUCAUUUUAGGAAUUAUGAUAUAUAUUAUUAUAUUAUCAACUAAACAAACUUUGAAGUGAUUUAUAUGAAUUCUCAAUUUUCAACAAACAUGUUUAUUAUGUGGUUAUAACUACGAAAUUGACUUGAUAAGGGAAAAUAAUGAUGUUAUCAAAAUGGAAAAAACAAUCAACUUAUAUAGCAUGCAUGAUGCAUGCAUGUUGCUGAGUUCAUGAGAUUUCUGCACGUAAGCCUUGUGUUGUUGGCUCAUGUGUACCCCAUUUAAGGUUUUGAUUGGAAUAGGAAAUUGCUAUAUGAUAUAAAUAAUUUUCCAAUUAGAUUUUAAUUUUGAAAUUAUUAAGUUCCUCAUUUUCUUUAUGUUUCAGUAAUGAACUAUUCGACUUUCCCUCUAGUUCUAGUUUUCCUCUUAGUUGGAUAGGUAAGAAAUGAUAAUAAACUAAUAAAAAAUAGUCAAAAUUUUCAUCAACCCCUAAUGAUGGAAUAGUAACUUUUUAAUAUCAAACCUCCGAUGACAGAAAAGAACCAAUACACAAGUAAUAAUAAAGAAUUCACCCCAAUAUUAGAAAAGAGGAGUAAUUGUUUUAGCUUUCCUUAUACUAGUGUGUACAGGUACUUCGUGUCUGCCGGCGAAUAUUGUGUCAUACUACAUAUCCAAAUUUUAUAUAUUUCAUUUUUUGAAUUAAAAUGUAUUUGUUGUGUUCGGUGUACUUUAUAUUUUUUUUUUGUUUAUGAUAAUGUUUAAUUUAAUAUGAGAUAUGUGGUUAAUUAAUGUAUUGGUGGUAGUUGCUUAGGAUUAUAUAGUUUUUUUUGUAAAAAUUAAAUAAUGUUAAGGGCAAUAUAGGAAAUGAAAAUUACACCAUGAAAGAAGUUAUUUCAAGUUUUGGCUUUAUAUAUAGUAUAAACAAUUAGGUGGUACAUAUUGCUUUUCACUAGCUUUUGGAUUUCCUUUUCUUUUCUGGAACAUGUACAUAGAAUAAUAGCUCUUUUUUCAGUGAUAAUGGAAGUUCCCAAGUUGCAUAUGUUACCUUCAGUAAUCCAGAGGGAGCUGAAACUGCUGUUCUUCUAUCGGUAUAUUCAUUUCUUAAUCCCUUUUGUUCAAUUUUGUUGUUAUUAAAUGUAAUUUUCUGCAAAUACCAGAUUUGUUCCAUUAAGUGUAUUUGGUCUUUUUAUAAAUCAUGUUACAUUUCUAAUCUCUUCUAUGAUGUUGAAUCUAUUUGGUGUGUUUCCAGGGAGCAGUGGUGGCUGGACAGCCUUUAACCAUAGCAAUGGCUCCAGAAUAUUCUCUGCCUGCAUCUGUUGCAUCUACACUGCCAACUGUAUAGUAUUUAUUCCCUGAAUUUCCUAAACAUAAACUAAACGGGAGCACAUCUGUUGUCCCAUAGUUUGUGUGCCAUAAGCUUGUGAUUGGUCAGAAAAAUACUUAAUAUUUAGAUUUUAACUUAAAUAUAUUUUGUCUGACCAAUCAUAAGUCUAUGGCACAUGGAGUGUCACAAACUGUGGGACAGUAAAUGUGUACCCUAAACUAUUUCUCUAUUGACAAAUGUAUUUGACACUUUAUAGUUCAAUCUGAUCAGGCAACAGAGACCAAAAAUGCUGAAACUGGUGAAUCUGGUUUGAGAAAGGCAGAGGAUGUUGUAACAAGCUUGCUAGCUAAGGGCUUUAUUUUGGGUAAAGAUGCAUUAACACAUGCUGAAUCCUUUGAUGAAAGGCACCAUGUUACUUCCACAGCAACAGCAAAAGUUGUUUCUCUAGACCAAAAGGUUGGUCUCACUGAAAAAAUCAGUGCUGGUACAACUUUGGUGAAUGAGAAAGUAAAAGAAAUGGAUGAGAAAUUUCAAGUAUCAGAGAAGACUAAGAUUGCAAUUUCAGCCGCCGAGCAGACGGUAAGUAAUGCCGGAUCAGCCAUCAUGAAGAACCGUUAUAUCUUGACCGGGGCGACAUGGGUCACCGGUGCAUAUAAUAAGGUUGCUAAGGCAGCUGAGGAGGUGGGACAGAAAACUAAGGAGAAGGUUUUAGCACAUGAUAAUAAUAAUAAUCAAGGAAAGACAGAAGAACAAGGACAUGUCCAAACCAACAUCAUUGAACCUCAAAAGACCACCACACCUGAUCAACCCUCCAAACCUGAAUCUCAACAGAACACCAAACCUGACAAGCCUUCCAAUCCUGAAACAACAACACAAGGUCUCAUCCUUUGAUUUGCAAGGAUUUGUGUAAA